CUACUUCUUAGCUUUUUUCUUUUAAAGGCAACAAACCUCGUCAAAUUUGGUGCAAUGGUUGCCGAGAAAAACGAGUUCUCCUUUUGCAUGUAUUUAGAUA
rnacentral:lncRNA from 1 species